CUUGCACCUUUGGUCUGAAAGUUCCCAUUUGCACUCCUGAACAGGCUCCCUCCAUAGAGGACCUGGCAGAUCUUACCAAGUCCCUUUAUCUCCCUGACUGGUUGAGUAAAGACCCUGGUUGAGUAAACCUCCCCAGCAGAGCCUG